CCUUUGUACACACCGCCCGUCGCUACUACCGAUUGAAUGGCUUAGUGAGACCUCCGGAUUGGGCGCAUUCGACUCGAAAGUUUCGGUGCGCCUGAGAAGCUGGUCAAACUUGGUCAUUUAGAGG
rnacentral:rRNA from 1 species